rnacentral:rRNA from 1 species
AUGACCUCGCGGAUGGAGAGGGAUUCGAACCCCCGGUAUUCCUAUCAAUACUUCGGUUUUCAAGACCGACUCUUUCAACCGCUCAGACAUCCAUCCCUGCACUCGCCCGCCCUAUCUAUCUGCGCACUGGCAGGUAGGGGCAACUCUAUGUGA